rnacentral:rRNA from 1 species
AUUCGCCUACGGGGGGCAGCAGUGAGGAAUAUUGGUCAAUGGGCGGAAGCCUGAACCAGCCACGUCGCGUGAGGGAAUAAGGCCCUACGGGUCGUAAACCUCUUUUGCCGGGGAGCAAGGGCGGGGACGUGUCCCGGCCCGGAGAGUACCCGGAGAAAAAGCAUCGGCUAACUCCGUGCCAGCAGCCGCGGUAAUACGGAGGAUGCAAGCGUUAUCCGGAUUUACUGGGUGUAAAGGGAGCGUAGGCGGUGCAGCAAGUCAGAAGUGAAAGCCCGGGGCUCAACUCCGGGACUGCUUUUGAAACU